rnacentral:rRNA from 1 species
GAUGAACGCUAGCGGCAGGCUUAAUACAUGCAAGUCGAGGGGCAGCAUGACUGUAGCAAUACAGUUGAUGGCGACCGGCAAACGGGUGCGGAACACGUACAGAACCUUCCUUCGAGCGGGGAAUAGCCCAGAGAAAUUUGGAUUAAUACACCAUAGUACAACGGAGUGGCAUCACUUUGUUGUUAAAGAUUUAUCACUUGAAGAUGGCUGUGCGGCUGAUUAGGUAGUUGGCGGGGUAACAGCCCACCAAGCCUGCGAUCAGUAACUGGAGUGAGAGCACGACCAGUCACACGGGCACUGAGACACGGGCCCGACUCCUACGGGAGGCAGCAGUAAGGAAUAUUGGUCAAUGGACGUAAGUCUGAACCAGCCAUGCCGCGUGGAGGAUGAAGGUCCUCUGGAUUGUAAACUUCUUUUAUAUGGGACGAAAAAAGGGUUUUCUAACUCGUCUGACGGUACCAUAUGAAUAAGCACCGGCUAACUCCGUGCCAGCCGCCGCAGUAAUAC